rnacentral:rRNA from 1 species
CCUACGGGAGGUAGCAGUGGGGGAUAUUGGACAAUGGGGGGAACCUUGAUCGAGCGACGCCGCGUGCGCGAAGCAGUAUUUCGGUAUGUAAAGCUCUGUUAGCAGGGAAGAAAGAAAUGACGGUACAUGAACAAGAAGCCGCGGCUACCUAGGUACCAGCAGCUGCGGUAAUACGUAGGGGGCAAGCGUUAUCCGGAAUUAUUGGGUGGAAAGGGAGCGUAGACGGUUAAGUAAGUCUGGAUUGAAAGGCCGGGGCCCAACCCCGGGACUGCUCUGGAAGCUAUUGAACUUGAGUGCAGGAGAGGAAGCGGAAUUCCUAGUGUAGCGGUGAAAUGCGUAGAUAUUAGGAGGAACACCAGUGGCGAAGGCGGCUUACUGGACUGUAACUGACGUUGAGGCUCGAAAGCGUGGGGAGCAAACAGGAUUAGAUACCCGAGUAGUC